rnacentral:rRNA from 1 species
UACGAAGGGUGCAAGCGUUAAUCGGAAUUACUGGCGUAAAGGGUGCGUAGGCGGUUCGUUAAGGCUGUCGUGAAAUCCCCGGGCUCAACCUGGGAAUGGCGAUGGAUACUGGCGAGCUAGAGUGUGUCAGAGGAUGGUGGAAUUCCCGGUGUAGCGGUGAAAUGCGUAGAGAUCGGGAGGAACAUCAGUGGCGAAGGCGGCCAUCUGGGACAACACUGACGCUGAAGCACGAAAGCGUGGGGAGCAAACAGG